rnacentral:rRNA from 1 species
UUAAAUUGAAGAGUUUGAUCAUGGCUCAGAUUGAACGCUGGCGGCAGGCCUAACACAUGCAAGUCGAACGGUAACAGGAAGCAGCUUGCUGCUUCGCUGACGAGUGGCGGACGGGUGAGUAAUGUCUGGGAAACUGCCUGAUGGAGGGGGAUAACUACUGGAAACGGUAGCUAAUACCGCAUAACGUCGCAAGACCAAAGAGGGGGACCUUCGGGCCUCUUGCCAUCGGAUGUGCCCAGAUGGGAUUAGCUUGUUGGUGGGGUAACGGCUCACCAAGGCGACGAUCCCUAGCUGG